rnacentral:rRNA from 1 species
AAUAGAUACCCAGGUAGUCCACGCCGUAAACGUUGGGCGCUAGGUGUGGGGCUCAUUCCACGAGUUCCGUGCCGCAGCUAACGCAUUAAGCGCCCCGCCUGGGGAGUACGGCCGCAAGGCUAAAACUCAAAGGAAUUGACGGGGGCCCGCACAAGCGGCGGAGCAUGUUGCUUAAUUCGAUGCAACGCGAAGAACCUUACCUAGGCUUGACAUGCACGGAAAUCUCCCAGAGAUGGGGGGUCCGUAAGGGCCGUGCACAGGUGGUGCAUGGUUGUCGUCAGCUCGUGUCGUGAGAUGUUGGGUUAAGUCCCGCAACGAGCGCAACCCUCGUUCUAUGUUGCCAGCGGGUAAUGCCGGGGACUCAUAGGAGACUGCCGGGGUCAACUCGGAGGAAGGUGGGGAUGACAUCAAAUCAUCAUGCCCCUUAUGUCUAGGGCUGCAAACAUGCUACAAAUGGCCGGUACAAAAGGGGCUGCGAUACCGCGAGGUGGAGCGAAAUCCCCAAAAAAGCCCGGUCUCGAGUUCGGGAUUGGGGGUCUGCAA